rnacentral:rRNA from 1 species
ACACAUGCAAGUCGAGGGGUAACAGAGAAAAGCUUGCUUUUUUGCUGACGACCGGCGCACGGGUGCGUAACGCGUAUGCAAUCUACCUUUUGCUAAGGGAUAGCCCAGAGAAAUUUGGAUUAAUACCUUAUAGUAUGAUGACUUGGCAUCAAGAUAUCAUUAAAGGUUACGGCAAAAGAUGAGCAUGCGUUCUAUUAGCUAGUUGGUAUGGUAACGGCAUACCAAGGCAACGAUAGAUAGGGGUCCUGAGAGGGAGAUCCCCCACACUGGUACUGAGACACGGACCAGACUCCUACGGGAGGCAGCAGUGAGGAAUAUUGGACAAUGGAGGCAACUCUGAUCCAGCCAUGCCGCGUGCAGGAAGACUGCCCUAUGGGUUGUAAACUGCUUUUAUACAGGAAGAAACACCUCUACGUGUAGAGAUUUGACGGUACUGUAAGAAUAAGGAUCGGCUAACUCCGUGCCAGCAGCCGCGGUAAUACGGAGGAUCCAAGCG